rnacentral:rRNA from 1 species
ACACAUGCAAGUCGAGCGAUGAAGUUUCCUUCGGGAAACGGAUUAGCGGCGGACGGGUGAGUAACACGUGGGUAACCUGCCUCAUAGAGUGGAAUAGCCUUCCGAAAGGAAGAUUAAUACCGCAUAAUGUUGAAAGAUGGCAUCAUCAUUCAACCAAAGGAGCAAUCCGCUAUGAGAUGGACCCGCGGCGCAUUAGCUAGUUGGUGGGGUAACGGCCUACCAAGGCGACGAUGCGUAGCCGACCUGAGAGGGUGAUCGGCCACAUUGGGACUGAGACACGGCCCAGACUCCUACGGGAGGCAGCAGUGGGGAAUAUUGCACAAUGGGGGAAACCCUGAUGCAGCAACGCCGCGUGAGUGAUGAAGGUUUUCGGAUCGUAAAGCUCUGUCUUUGGGGAAGAUAAUGACGGUACCCAAGGAGGAAGCCACGGCUAACUACGUGCCAGCAGCCGCGGUAAUACGUAGGUGGCGAGCGUUAUCCGGAUUUACUGGGCGUAAAGGGAGCGUAGGCGGAUGAUUAAGUGGGAUGUGAAAUACCCGGGCUCAACUUGGGUGCUGCAUUCCAAACUGGUUAUCUAGAGUGCAGGAGAGGAGAGUGGAAUUCCUAGUGUAGCGGUGAAAUGCGUAGAGAUUAGGAAGAACACCAGUGGCGAAGGCGACUCUCUGGACUGUAACUGACGCUGAGGCUCGAAAGCGUGGGGAGCAAACAGGAUUAGAUACCCUGGUAGUCCACGCCGUAAACGAUGAACACUAGGUGUGGGGGUUUCAACACCUCCGUGCCGCCGCUAACGCAUUAAGUAUUCCGCCUGGGGAGUACGGUCGCAAGAUUAAAACUCAAAGGAAUUGACGGGGACCCGCACAAGUAGCGGAGCAUGUGGUUUAAUUCGAAGCAACGCGAAGAACCUUACCUACACUUGACAUCCCUUGCAUUACUCUUAAUCGAGGAAAUCCCUUCGGGGACAAGGUGACAGGUGGUGCAUGGUUGUCGUCAGCUCGUGUCGUGAGAUGUUGGGUUAAGUCCCGCAACGAGCGCAACCCUUGUCGUUAGUUACUACCAUUAAGUUGAGGACUCUAGCGAGACUGCCUGGGUUAACCAGGAGGAAGGUGGGGAUGACGUCAAAUCAUCAUGCCCCUUAUGUGUAGGGCUACACACGUGCUACAAUGGCUGGUACAGAGAGAUGCAAUACCGCGAGGUGGAGCCAAACUUAAAAACCAGUCUCAGUUCGGAUUGUAGGCUGAAACUCGCCUACAUGAAGCUGGAGUUACUAGUAAUCGCGAAUCAGAAUGUCGCGGUGAAUACGUUCCCGGGUCUUGUACACACCGCCCGUCACACCAUGAGAGUUGGCAAUACCCGAAGUCCGUGAGCUAACCGCAAGGAGGCAGCGGCCGAAGGUAGGGUCAGCGAUUGGGGUGAA